CGUUUUAUCUGACUGCUAGAUCAGAGUUUGUUUGGAUGGAAGGAAAAGAAGAGAUGUGGAGCUACUGUCUUCAUAAGAUCAGAUGUUGAGCAUGGUAUAAAGUUGCCUGUCAGCCCGUGGCCUGUGCUGUCUCAAAAACAGACACCAUCGGCAGCCAUUGUCCUGCUCCAACUUGAAUUAGUGUCAGGAUGAAGAAACUGAAGUUCAGCAAGGUG